CAGGAUGGACCCGCGUCUGAUUAGCUAGUUGGUAAGGUAACGGCUUACCAAGGCGACGAUCAGUAGCCGACCUGAGAGGGUGAUCGGCCACAUUGGAACUGAGACACGGUCCAAACUCCUACGGGAGGCAGCAGUGGGGAAUAUUGCACAAUGGGCGAAAGCCUGAUGCAGCAACGCCGCGUGAGUGAUGAAGGCCUUCGGGUCGUAAAACUCUGUCCUCAAGGAAGAUAAUGACGGUACUUGAGGAGGAAGCCCCGGCUAACUACGUGCCAGCAGCCGCGGUAAUACGUAGGGGGCUAGCGUUAUCCGGAUUUACUGGGCGUAAAGGGUGCGUAGGCGGUCUUUCAAGUCAGGAGUGAAAGGCUACGGCUCAACCGUAGUAAGCUCUUGAAACUGGGAGACUUGAGUGCAGGAGAGGAGAGUGGAAUUCCUAGUGUAGCGGUGAAAUGCGUAGAUAUUAGGAGGAACACCAGUUGCGAAGGCGGCUCUCUGGACUGUAACUGACGCUGAGGCACGAAAGCGUGGGGAGCAAACAGGAUUAGAUACCCUGGUAGUCCACGCUGUAAACGAUGAGUACUAGGUGUCGGGGGUUACCCCCUUCGGUGCCGCAGCUAACGCAUUAAGUACUCCGCCUG
rnacentral:rRNA from 1 species